rnacentral:rRNA from 1 species
CAGUAGCCGCGGUAAUACGGAGGGUGCAAGCGUUAAUCGGAAUUACUGGGCGUAAAGCGCACGCAGGCGGUCUGACAAGUCAGAUGUGAAAUCCCCGGGCUUAACCUGGGAACUGCAUUUGAAACUGUCAGUCUGGAGUCUUGUAGAGGGGGGUGGAAUUCCAGGUGUAGCGGUGAAAUGCGUAGAGAUCUGGAGGAAUACCGGUGGCGAAGGCGGCCCCCUGGACAAAGACUGACGCUCAGGUGCGAAAGCGUGGGGCGCAAACAGGAUUAGAUACCCCGGUAGUCCCUGUCUCUUAUAC